CAGUAGCCACGGUAAUACGGAGGGUGCAAGCGUUAAUCGGAAUUACUGGGCGUAAAGCGCACGCAGGCGGUCUGACAAGUCAGAUGUGAAAUCCCCGGGCUUAACCUGGGAACUGCAUUUGAAACUGUCAGGCUGGAGUCUUGUAGAGGGGGGUGGAAUUCCAGGUGUAGCGGUGAAAUGCGUAGAGAUCUGGAGGAAUACCGGUGGCGAAGGCGGCCCCCUGGACAAAGACUGACGCUCAGGUGCGAAAGCGUGGGGAGCAAACAGGAUUAGAUACCCCAGUAGUCCAUGUCUCUUAUAC
rnacentral:rRNA from 1 species